rnacentral:rRNA from 1 species
CUUAUAUUCUGUAGCAAGGUUAACCGAAUAGGGGAGCCGAAGGGAAACCGAGUCUUAACUGGGCGUUAAGUUGCAGGGUAUAGACCCGAAACCCGGUGAUCUAGCCAUGGGCAGGUUGAAGGUUGGGUAACACUAACUGGAGGACCGAACCGACUAAUGUUGAAAAAUUAGCGGAUGACUUGUGGCUGGGGGGGAAAGGCCAAUCAAACCGGGAGAUAGCUGGUUCUCCCCGAAAGCUAUUUAGGUAGCGCCUCGUGAAUUCAUCUCCGGGGGUAGAGCACUGUUUCGGCAAGGGGGUCAUCCCGACUUACCAACCCGAUGCAAACUGCGAAUACCGGAGAAUGUUAUCACGGGAGACACACGGCGGGUGCUAACGUCCGUCGUGAAGAGGGAAACAACCCAGACCGCCAGCUAAGGUCCCAAAGUCAUGGUUAAGUGGGAAACGAUGUGGGAAGGCCCAGACAGCCAGGAUGUUGGCUUAGAAGCAGCCAUCAUUUAAAGAAAGCGUAAUAGCUCACUGGUCGAGUCGGCCUGCGCGGAAGAUGUAACGGGGCUAAACCAUGCACCGAAGCUGCGGCAGCGACGCUUAUGCGUUGUUGGGUAGGGGAGCGUUCUGUAAGCCUGCGAAGGUGUGCUGUGAGGCAUGCUGGAGGUAUCAGAAGUGCGAAUGCUGACAUAAGUAACGAUAAAGCGGGUGAAAAGCCCGCUCGCCGGAAGACCAAGGGUUCCUGUCCAACGUUAAUCGGGGCAGGGUGAGUCGACCCCUAAGGCGAGGCCGAAAGGCGUAGUCGAUGGGAAACAGGUUAAUAUUCCUGUACUUGGUGUUACUGCGAAGGGGGGACGGAGAAGGCUAUGUUGGCCGGGCGACGGUUGUCCCGGUUUAAGCGUGUAGGCUGGUUUUCCAGGCAAAUCCGGAAAAUCAAGGCUGAGGCGUGAUGACGAGGCACUACGGUGCUGAAGCAACAAAUGCCCUGCUUCCAGGAAAAGCCUCUAAGCAUCAGGUAACAUCAAAUCGUACCCCAAACCGACACAGGUGGUCAGGUAGAGAAUACCAAGGCGCUUGAGAGAACUCGGGUGAAGGAACUAGGCAAAAUGGUGCCGUAACUUCGGGAGAAGGCACGCUGAUAUGUAGGUGAAGUCCCUCGCGGAUGGAGCUGAAAUCAGUCGAAGAUACCAGCUGGCUGCAACUGUUUAUUAAAAACACAGCACUGUGCAAACACGAAAGUGGACGUAUACGGUGUGACGCCUGCCCGGUGCCGGAAGGUUAAUUGAUGGGGUUAGCGCAAGCGAAGCUCUUGAUCGAAGCCCCGGUAAACGGCGGCCGUAACUAUAACGGUCCUAAGGUAGCGAAAUUCCUUGUCGGGUAAGUUCCGACCUGCACGAAUGGCGUAAUGAUGGCCAGGCUGUCUCCACCCGAGACUCAGUGAAAUUGAACUCGCUGUGAAGAUGCAGUGUACCCGCGGCAAGACGGAAAGACCCCGUGAACCUUUACUAUAGCUUGACACUGAACAUUGAGCCUUGAUGUGUAGGAUAGGUGGGAGGCUUUGAAGUGUGGACGCCAGUCUGCAUGGAGCCGACCUUGAAAUACCACCCUUUAAUGUUUGAUGUUCUAACGUGGACCCGUAAUCCGGGUUGCGGACAGUGUCUGGUGGGUAGUUUGACUGGGGCGGUCUCCUCCUAAAGAGUAACGGAGGAGCACGAAGGUUGGCUAAUCCUGGUCGGACAUCAGGAGGUUAGUGCAAUGGCAUAAGCCAGCUUGACUGCGAGCGUGACGGCGCGAGCAGGUGCGAAAGCAGGUCAUAGUGAUCCGGUGGUUCUGAAUGGAAGGGCCAUCGCUCAACGGAUAAAAGGUACUCCGGGGAUAACAGGCUGAUACCGCCCAAGAGUUCAUAUCGACGGCGGUGUUUGGCACCUCGAUGUCGGCUCAUCACAUCCUGGGGCUGAAGUAGGUCCCAAGGGUAUGGCUGUUCGCCAUUUAAAGUGGUACGCGAGCUGGGUUUAGAACGUCGUGAGACAGUUCGGUCCCUAUCUGCCGUGGGCGCUGGAGAACUGAGGGGGGCUGCUCCUAGUACGAGAGGACCGGAGUGGACGCAUCACUGGUGUUCGGGUUGUCAUGCCAAUGGCACUGCCCGGUAGCUAAAUGCGGAAGAGAUAAGUGCUGAAAGCAUCUAAGCACGAAACUUGCCCCGAGAUGAGUUCUCCCUGACUCCUUGA